CAGCCUGAGAAGGGAGAUUAGUGUCAGAGUGAGUCUCCUCCUGGCUCCACCCAUAUCAGAGUCAAGAAGAACUUUCUCACACUGAGCAGGACAAACGGAGAAGGAGAAUCACCUCAGCUGGGAAGCAGACAGCAAUAAAAACAUGUAAGAAGCUAUCAAGCAAAUGUCAUUUUCCUGCCUGGGCAAAAAGCAGGUUCUCUUUAGAGUGAACACAGGAAACAGACAACCAGGAAGUGUCCAGAACAGAGAAGGAUU